CGGGGCGUAGCGCAGCCUGGUAGCGCAUCUGGUUUGGGACCAGAGGGUCGCUGGUUCGAAUCCGGCCGCCCCGACCA
rnacentral:tRNA from 4 species